rnacentral:snRNA from 1 species
UUGCUUCCGCAGCAUAUAUACUAAAAUUGGAAUGAUACGGAGAAGAUUAGCAGGGCCCCUACGCAAGGAUGACUCGCAUAUUUGUGAAGCAUUCCAUAUUUUG